CCCUUAGAUGUUCUGGGCUGCACGCGCGCUACACUGAUGCGCUCAACGAGUUUACGACCUUGCCCGGAAGGGUCGGGUAAUCUUUUUAAAACGCAUCGUGAUGGGGAUAGAUUAUUGCAAUUAUUAAUCUUUAACGAGGAAUUCCUAGUAAGCGCGAGUCAUCAGCUCGUGCUGAUUACGUCCCUGCCCUUUGUACACACCGCCCGUCGCUUCUACCGAUGAAUGAUCCGGUGAACACUCUGGACUUGUUGUCUGUCGGAGCAAUCCAAAGACGAUAGGGAAGUUGUGUAAACCUUAUCAUUUAGAGGAAGAAGAAGUCGUAACA
rnacentral:rRNA from 1 species